UGUGGGAUUCAGAAUUCACUUCAAUGUGGCAUAAUUUUCUCACGCAGAAUGUAUGGUGUCAAGACAGACUUGAAUAAUGUAUACCAUUCUGUAUUCCAUGCAAUAUACAAGGUCAGAACAACCUUUUGUGUUUUUGAAAUCAGAUGAAAACAUAUGAAUUUAGCAACAACCAACACACUUGAACACUAUUUAGGGAAGCUUGACUACAAAAAUUAACAGUUUAAAUGGAAAACAAUUGAGAUUG